rnacentral:rRNA from 1 species
GACGAACGCUGGCGGCGUGCUUAACACAUGCAAGUCGAACGGAAAGGCCCUGCUUUUGUGGGGUGCUCGAGUGGCGAACGGGUGAGUAACACGUGAGUAACCUGCCCUUGACUUUGGGAUAACUUCAGGAAACUGGGGCUAAUACCGGAUAGGAGCUCCUGCUGCAUGGUGGGGGUUGGAAAGUUUCGGCGGUUGGGGAUGGACUCGCGGCUUAUCAGCUUGUUGGUGGGGUAGUGGCUUACCAAGGCUUUGACGGGUAGCCGGCCUGAGAGGGUGACCGGCCACAUUGGGACUGAGAUACGGCCCAGACCCCUACGGGAGGCAGCAGUGGGGAAUAUUGCACAAUGGGCGGAAGCCUGAUGCAGCAACGCCGCGUGCGGGAUGACGGCCUUCGGGUUGUAAACCGCUUUCGCCUGUGACGAAGCGUGAGUGACGGUAAUGGGUAAAGAAGCACCGGCUAACUACGUGCCAGCAGCCGCGGUGAUACGUAGGGUGCGAGCGUUGUCCGGAUUUAUUGGGCGUAAAGGGCUCGUAGGUGGUUGAUCGCGUCGGAAGUGGAAUCUUGGGGCUUAACCCUGAGCGUGCUUUCGAUACGGGUUGACUUGAGGAAGGUAGGGGAGAAUGGAAUUCCUGGUGGAGCGGUGGAAUGCGCAGAUAUCAGGAGGAACACCAGUGGCGAAGGCGGUUCUCUGGGCCUUUCCUGACGCUGAGGAGCGAAAGCGUGGGGAGCGAACAGGCUUAGAUACCCUGGUAGUCCACGCUGUAAACGGUGGGUACUAGGUGUGGGGUCCAUUCCACGGGUUCCGUGCCGUAGCUAACGCUUUAAGUACCCCGCCUGGGGAGUACGGCCGCAAGGCUAAAACUCAAAGGAAUUGACGGGGCCCCGCACAAGCGGCGGAGCAUGCGGAUUAAUUCGAUGCAACGCGUAGAACCUUACCUGGGUUUGACAUGGAUCGGGAGCGCUCAGAGAUGGGUGUGCCUCUUUUGGGGUCGGUUCACAGGUGGUGCAUGGCUGUCGUCAGCUCGUGUCGUGAGAUGUUGGGUUAAGUCCCGCAACGAGCGCAACCCUUGUUCACUGUUGCCAGCACGUUAUGGUGGGGACUCAGUGGAGACCGCCGGGGUCAACUCGGAGGAAGGUGGGGAUGACGUCAAGUCAUCAUGCCCCUUAUGUCCAGGGCUUCACGCAUGCUACAAUGGCUGGUACAGAGAGUGGCGAGCCUGUGAGGGUGAGCGAAUCUCGGAAAGCCGGUCUCAGUUCGGAUUGGGGUCUGCAACUCGACCUCAUGAAGUCGGAGUCGCUAGUAAUCGCAGAUCAGCAACGCUGCGGUGAAUACGUUCCCGGG